AACUGUGAGCGACGAAACUUUUAGUUUUAAAUUUAAUUUUACUUGGUGACUUGUACUGUGCUGUUUUUACUUUUCUACAGUUUCAUUUUUUCAGCAAGUCAAUAUGAAACCUAAAUCAGUCCUCACCCGGUUUCACAAUUGUUACAUAUUGCGUGAUAAUAAAAUAAUUAAAGAAGAUCUGUGGAUACGCGAUGGUAAAAUUGAAAAUCCAGAACAAGUUUUUUAUGUGGAACAGCUCGAAGCAGACGUAACUGUAAAUUGUGACAAUGUACUGAUUGCACCAGGGUUCAUUGACAUCCAAAUAAAUGGUGGUUGGGGUAUUGACUUCUCAUACGACUGCAAAAAUGUAGAAAAUGGUGUCAGUAAAGUGGCAAAAGAGCUCCUGGCUCAUGGUGUGACUUCAUUCUGUCCUACCAUGGUGACGUCAGACACAGAAAAGUAUAAUAAAAUCUUGCCCAAGAUCACCAAAGCCCAAGGCGGUAAGGAUGGUGCUACAGUACUGGGGGUACACCUUGAAGGUCCAUUUAUCAGCCUAGAAAAAAAAGGAGCCCAUAUGGAUGACUACAUCAGAACCCCAGAAAAGGGAUUAGAGUCAAUCCGUGAAGUUUACGGAUCUUUGGAUAAUGUUAUCAUGGUCACGUUAGCCCCAGAACUGCCUGGAGCAACUGAGGCUAUAAAAGGCUUGACCGGCCUCGGCAUCAAGGUAGCGUUAGGUCAUUCCACUGCCAGUCUAGCACAAGGUGAAGAAGCAGUGAAGAACGGUGCUAAUUUGAUCACUCAUUUGUUCAAUGCAAUGUUACCUUUCCACCAUCGUGACCCUGGCCUAGUAGGACUGCUAGCUUCAACGACAGAGAAACAAGUGUACUACGGUAUCAUAGCUGACGGCAUUCACACGCAUCCUGCGGCCCUUAGAAUAGCAUGCAGAACGAAUCCUGAAGGUCUGGUGCUGGUAAGCGACGCAGUAGCAGCUCAAGGCUUAGCAGACGGCAACUACCGGAUCGGGCCGCAAGCCGUUACAGUGGAAGGCGGCCGGGCGUACGUGACGGGCACCAAGACUCUUUGCGGGAGCACCAGUGGACUCGACGAAUGCGUGAUUAUCUUCAAACAGUCUAUAGAUUGUACCUUGGAAUAUGCGUUAGAAGCUGCUUCCUUACAUCCAGCAAGAGCUCUAGGUAUUGAUGACCGAAAAGGCAAACUAGACUUUGGUUAUGACGCGGACUUUGUCAUCUUACACCCCAAAUCUUUGAAGGUUCUCUCCACUUGGAUCGCGGGGGAAUGUGUUUUUGAACGACCAGAUUCAGAACAAUGAUUGCAGGUAAAUAUAUAAUAUGAUGUACCAGACUAUGAAAAUGUAUUUUAUUUACAGUUAGUGUACAUGUUAAAUAACUUUUCGGUCAUUGAACUUCACAACUGAAGGGUUGUAGGAGGUAUCUACACUAUAUGCUUUAUAAUUUUAUGCAUUUUGACAUAAUUUAUACAAAUUAAUUGUGAUAUUAUGUAUGUAAAUAAAAUGUGUCUAUAAAAUAAAACGUUAUAUUCAAAGUU